UACAGAGGUCUCAAGCGUUGUUCGGAUUCAUUGGGCGUAAAGGGUGCGUAGGCGGCGCGGUAAGUCGGGUGUGAAAUCUCGGAGCUUAACUCCGAAACUGCAUUCGAUACUGCCGUGCUUGAGGACUGGGAGAGGAGACUGGAAUUUACGGUGUAAGCGGUGAAAUGCGUAGAUAUCGUAAGGAAGACCAGUGGCGAAGGCGGGUCUCUGGACAGUUCCUGACGCUGAGGCACGAAGGUCAGGGGAGCAAACGGG
rnacentral:rRNA from 1 species